GGCGCGGUAGCAAAGCGGUUAUGCGUCGGAUUGCAAAUCCGUUGAGCCCGGUUCGACUCCGGGCCGCGCCUCCA
rnacentral:tRNA from 4 species